GCAGACACAUUCCAGCCAAUCAGCAGCAGACUCUCCCUCCCAGACCCUCCCACCUCCUGGACAGCAUCCAUUUUGAAGCUGCAUUCUUAGUGAGCUGUCCAGGAGGUGGGAGGGUCUGGGAGGGAGGGUCUGCUGCUGAUUGGCUGGAAUGUGUCUG